rnacentral:siRNA from 1 species
GAGAUAUUCUUGUGGUUAAUGAU